CAGCCGCCGCGGUAAUACGUAGGGUGCGAGCGUUAAUCGGAAUUACUGGGCGUAAAGCGUGCGCAGGCGGUUAUAUAAGACAGAUGUGAAAUCCCCGGGCUCAACCUGGGACCUGCAUUUGUGACUGUAUAGCUAGAGUACGGUAGAGGGGGAUGGAAUUCCGCGUGUAGCAGUGAAAUGCGUAGAUAUGCGGAGGAACACCGAUGGCGAAGGCAAUCCCCUGGACCUGUACUGACGCUCAUGCACGAAAGCGCGGGGAGCAAACAGGAUUAGAUACCCGGGUAGUCCCUGUCUCUUAUAC
rnacentral:rRNA from 1 species